GAUGAACGCUGGCGGCGUGCCUAAUACAUGCAAGUCGAGCGAACAGACGAGGAUCUUGCUCCUCUUACGUUAGCGGCGGACGGGUGAGUAACACGUGUAUAACCUACCUAUAAGACUGGGAUAACUUCGGGAGACCGGAUCUAAUACAGGAUAAUAUAUUGAACCGCAUGGUUCAAUAGUGAAAGACGGUUUUGCUGUCACUUAUAGAUGGAUCCUCGCCGCAUUAGCUAGUUGGUAAGGUAACGGCUUACCAAGGCAACGAUGCGUAGCCGACCUGAGAGGGUGAUCAGCCACACUGGAACUGAGACACGGUCCAGACUCCUACGGGAGGCAGCAGUAGGGAAUCUUGCGCAAAGGGCGAAAGCCUGACGGAGCAACGCCGCGUGAGUGAUGAAGGUCUUCGGAUCGUAAAACUCUGUUAUUAGGGAAGAACAAAUGUGUGAGUAACUAUGCACGUCUUGACGGUACCAACAGAGAAAGCCACGGCUAACUACGUG
rnacentral:rRNA from 1 species